rnacentral:misc_RNA from 1 species
UUUCCGUAGGUGAACCUGCGGAAGGAUCAUUAAUGAGUUGUCAUGGGGUUCGAUGCUGGCAGCCAGUUUUUGGAUGCAUGUGCUUGCCCUAACAAUCAUCUUCUUCCAAACACCUGUGCACAUUUUUGAGGGAGUCUUGAGUUGGUUGCCGCUCUUGGGUGAUUUUCUCACAUUCCCUUAAAUCAUUAUACGCUAUUAACAAUGUUGAACGUGCUCUGUGCCGCAAGGCCAUUAAUAUAAUACAACUUUUAACAACGGAUCUCUUGGCUCUCGCAUCGAUGAAGAACGCAC